UUGGCGCGGUGGAAAAGGGACACCGGCCAUGGGCGUCGUCUUUCACUCCCAAAAAUUCUAGCGCUGCUCAUGCUCACCCUGCUCCGCCUCUGCCCUUGCACCAUCCGCCCUGCCCGCCGUCCCUCUGAUUUUCACCACCAUUGCUGGCCCUCCAUGGUUCGGUUCCGCAUAAAUCCGAUCCCUGUGCGCAGGUGCAGUGCGGCCCUUCAUGGAGAUGCAUCCGGACUUGGAUUGCCAUAGGCCAUAGCUACCACCAAUGGAAGCAAGAGAGCGAUGCAUAUCAAAUUGGAUAUGACGGGAUGUACCAGGUCGUCCACUGGGAAGGAGCGGCGCCGCGGUCGGCUCGGAACCCGGCGCGUGGAGGUGUGCAAUGGACCGUUGUGCUAUCUGGAUGAUGGUGGUGUGCAGCUGACCAGAUGCAUGGCCCAGACCGAGGCGACCAGUGGUAGCAUCGAGGAGCAGCCACCGCUUGCAGAGGUCAGAGCUGGAGAAGAUGGUCGCACCAAAGGUGUGUCUUCAGUAUCCCGUCUGGAAAGCUCCUGGGCUUCAUGGCCAACCAGCGCGGCAUCGAGGCCAACCUAGUCAAGGUGGAUGCGAUCCAGAACAUGGUGAAACCAUCUAACAAGAAGGACGUCAUGAAGCUUACUAGUAUGAUGGCGGCCCUUAGCCGCUUCAUCAGCAAACUUGGAGAAAAAGGUCUGCCCUUCUUCAAGCUCCUCAAAAAGGUAGACAAAUUCGAGUGGGACGACGAGGCUAGCAAGGCACUCGAAGAGCUCAAGGCUUUCCUCACCACUCCUCCCAUCAUGACGGCCCCGACCAACCAACAAAUGUUGUACCUCUACAUCUCUGCAACGAUGCAUGUUGUCAGCACCAUGCUAGUUGUGGAGCGCCAAGAGCCCGGCCAUGCUCACAUGGUGCAAUGCUCGAUGUAUUAUGUAAGCGAAGUCCUCAGCGACUCCAAGACCCGCUACACCCCAGGUUUAGAAAUUGCUCUAUGCAGUUCUGAUCUCAUCCUGAAAGCUGCGCCACUACUUUCAGGUGCACAGGAUUCGGGUGGUGUCAUCAUACCCCAUCAGCGAAAUCCUCCACAACAGAGACAUCGACAGCCAAGUUGUCAAGUGGUCUGCGGAGCUUGGUGAGUUUGACCUCGAUUUCUGCCCGCAUCAUGCGAUCAAGUCGCAGAUCCUAGCCGACUUCGUGGCUGAGUGGACGGAGAUCCAGAAGCUACCUUCCCUGGAAAGGCCAAAACACUAGACCAUGUACUUUGAUGGUGCCCUUAACCUUGAAGGAGCCAGCGCGGGAGUUCUAUUCAUAUCCCCCAAAGGCGAGCAGCUCAAGUAUGUGCUCCAGAUCUACUAUAAGGCCACCAAUAAUGGUGCCGAGUAUGAAGCCCUCAUCCAUGGCUUAUGCAUCGUUGUUUCUCUAGGAAUCAAACGUAUCCUUUCUUAUGGCGACUCCAAGGUUUUCAUUGAGCAAGUCAAUAAAAACUGGGACUGCACCAAGGAAUCCAUGGAUGCUUAUUGUGCGGAAAUCCGCAAGCUUAAGGCCCACACUGCGCGAAAAUCCACAAGCUUGAGGCCCACUUUGACGGUCUUGAGUUCCAUCAUGUCCCCAAGGACCACAAUGUCACCGCCGAUGUCCUGUCCAAGCUCGGCUCCAAACACGCGCAGGUUCCAGCUAGCAUAUGCAUACAAGAUCUCCGGAAACCUUCCAUCGAAAUCCAGGACCCGGACCAUGUCAACAACUCUGGCGCCCAGGCUCCGGCCGACCCAAAACCCACUAACGUCAUGAUGAUUGAGGUAGAAGAAGACUGGCGUGCCCUGUUCAUAGCCUUGAUCACUGAUCAGAUGGCGCCUAAGGACAAGAUAAAACAUGAAAAAAUAGCUCGGCAUAGUGCAAACUAUGUUGUCAUCGGCAAGGAGCUCUACAGGAAAGCUGCAUCCACAGGGAUCCUGAUGAAAUGCAUUCUACGUAGUGAGGGCAUUGAACUCUUGCAUGAAAUCCACUCGGGCACAUGUGGCAACCAUGCCGCCUUGGGUACUUUGGUCGGCAAAGCCUUGCGCUCUGGUUUCUACUGGCCAACAGUGGUAGCCGACGCAAAGGAGCUCGUCUAAAGGUGCAAAGGGUGUCAAUUCUUCUUCAAGCAACAACACCUUCCAGCUCAGGCCCUGUGCAACAUCCCACCAUCCUGGCCUUUCACAUAUUGGGGGCUGGACAUGGUAGGAUCCUUCAAGACUGCUCCGGGUGGCUACACACACAUCUUCGUGGUAGUCGACAAAUUCACCAAGUUGAUUGAGGUCAAGGCUGUUACCAGCAUCGAGUCGGCUAAAGCUGCUCAGUUCGUGGAGGAAAUUAUGCACCGCUUUGGAGUGCCAAACAGAAUCAUAACCGACCUUGGCACGCAGUUCGCAGGCUCCGAGUUUUGGGAUUUCUGCUAGGACAACCUCAUCGUCGUAUACUACUCCUUAGUAGCGCACCCGCGCUGCAACAGUUAGGUCGAACGUGCGAAUGGGAUGGUCCUCUAGUUCCUCAAGUCAUGAAUCUUUGAUGAUACGUCCAAAUAUACCACCAACUGGCUACACGAGCUACCCCAUGUCAUCUGGGCCUACGAAUAUAGAAGAGUCGGCCUACUGGCUACACCCCUUUCUUUAUGGUGUACGAUUCAGAGACCGUCCUGCCAUUCGACGUGGCCUUUGGCACCCCAUGCAUCCAGUACUACAAGGAAGGUGAGGUAGAAAAAAGUUAGCGAGUUGACAUCGACAGUCUUGAAGAGCAUCGCGUGGUGGCCCUCAUCUAGCAUGCACGUCAUGAGUAGCAGAUACGGCGCUACCACGAUCGGAAUGUCAAGGAACGCUCCUUAAAUGUUGGUGACAUGGUGCUUCGCCGUGUCCAGUCCACCAAGGACAUGCAUAAGUUGGCUGCCCCCUGGGAGGGCCCCUCCAUCGUCAAAGAAAUCAUCCAGCCAGGCACCUAGUGACUCCGAUGGGCAGAUGGCUCCGGCGUCCCCAAUCCAUGGAACAUCGAGCACCUAUGGCGCUUUUACCCCUAGAUAUAAAAAGCUAUGCACUCUGUUUCCCCUCUAUAAAUAAAAUCGUUGUGGUUCUUUUGCGUACCUACUACCUUACUAUUCUCCUUCCCAAGCUAUCCCUGACGCUCGAGGGCUGCCUCACCUGUUCAACAGCCCGCUCGCUCAUAAGCUCAGGGGCUUCCCCUGACGCCGACCUCUGGGUCCCGCAUUUCUCUCCUCCCCCUCUCAAGGCUAUACGACUAACUCAUGUGGUCGGCGUCCUAGCUUGUGAAACCUAGACAACCUCGCAUUCACUCUUCCUACAAGCUUGAGAUCCGAUCUCAGCAGGAUGUUGGUUAGGUGAGGCUAGGUGCUUAGUGGCUAUAGGCCUCAGCUACACACUGUCCUGUCGUAUACACCAAGGGAGGGAUGGAGUUUGCUUUCACCACAUAUGAUUAAGAAUAUUACAUUAUUCGUUUCAUCACAUAGUUUGAUACAUCUUAAAGUUUUUUCCUACAAGUCCAAGUUAUUUACAAUGGUUUACGCCACAUCAUGGUACUGCUCAGCCAGCUCUGGAAUACAAUCCACGUUGAAGUCGGCUGCGACUCUUGUCACAGCACGUUCCAAAGCCAACUUGGGGAAGUGCGACGCUACCAGAGUGAAGGCGUUCUUGAUGCAUUCUACUGCAAUGUCCUUCAGCAGUGCCUUGAGCUGACCUGGUGCAGCCUUGAGGCGAUCCAGCAGUGGUGUUGGCACAGUUGAGUUGGCGUUCGGUUGGAUGGGUCCAUCACAUAGCUGGCCGCCUUCUUCCAGCUCUAUCUCUAGCCUUGCAAUUACACGUUGGUCUUUUUGAAGAUUACUUAUAGCAGCCUCUAAGCAGCACUCGGUUUCCUUGCGCGUAUUGUCUUUGUAGGCCAGCUUCUGCGAUACUGCAUACUCACACUUUAUUGCCAUGUCAUGCUCCUACUGAAGGUGUGCAUUGAAGUCUUCGCACUCCUUGAGGUACCGUUGGAGUCUCUGCUCCCUCAUCGUGCCAUCUGCUUACCCAAACAGGUGUACAUCAAUAUCAAGAUUACAAGGCCAAAAGCUAAGUAAGCAAGUCAGCACAACUUACCUUUCAUCUGUGAAGCCAGAACAACCUUCUCCAAGUCCCUCUGCAGGAGCUGGUCGGCGGCAUCCUCCUUGGCUUUUUUAAGCUCGGCCUCAAGGCACUCUUCCUUCAGAGGAUAAUACUUAGCCCGUUGAGUCCCUUUCAUCCUCUUCCGCACGUAGGCGGCCAGAUUUUGUUUACACUUCAACAUUCAGAGUUCUGCAAGGAAACUUAGAUUUAAACACAAGUCAGCAAAUGCACUUAAAAAUAGCAGCUCGUUGGCGUCCAGGGACAUUUUCCACAACUUGUAAAGGUCUUCCUUAUCGCGCACCGCGUCCUCUCCCACAUCCGUGUUGGAGAAGUCCUUAGGGUUAGAUUCUUCAUGAAUCACACCAAGGUCAAUCUCCUCGGUGGACCUCUCUGGCAGCGGGUCAUCCCUGGGUAGCUCCCCUUGCCGUGGCUUGGCUCUAGCAUUUUCAUCAGCCUUCUUCUCGAUCUUGGGGUCGACCGUGGUGAUGUUUGCAUCCUUGGAGCCAGCUUCAUCCUAUUGUGGUGUUGGAGUCGACGCAACUUGGUGGAGUGAAGCUUUUUUUUUUCUAGAGUGGAGUGCUACCAAAUACCCCUGUACCUAGCAUUUAUACUCCAUUCAGAUAGGGGUAGCAGCUAGCAGUGGAGCACUGUACCUCCAAACCAGAAUACUUAGUAUGAAGGUAAGAUGACUGGGUUUCUUAGAUUACUCCAAUAGUUUGGUCAUGUAUCUGUGAUCAGGAGUUGCUGUUGUCGCAGUUUUGUUUCUCUUCUUUUUCUAAUUCAUCUUGCUUUUGUGCGCGCAA